GGAUAUGAGGGCGAUCUGGCUGUGACAUCUGUCAUCCCAUUCAUUGCCAGGGUUGAUUUGGCUGAUCUGGCUGCCUAGACAGGUGUUCCCUUCCUUCCUUACUGUUCCAUGUGUGUCCCUCCCAAAGCCUCGGGCUUGGUCAAAAAGGAUGACCUUCCCUGAUACAGGAGGACCUUUUUUCAGUCAAGGGUAUACGUGUACCUGUGCUCCCCUGUUAGAAACUCCAAACAAGGUAAAAUAUGCCAAGUAGUUGUUUUACUAUUGUUGUAAUAACACAGCUGUCUAU
rnacentral:snRNA from 1 species